UACGAAGGUGGCGAAUGUUGCUCGGAUUCACUGGGCGUAAAGCGUCGGUAGGAGGCUUGUUAAGUUAGGUGUGAAAGCCCCGCGCUCAACGUGGGAAUUGCACUUAAAACUAACUGGCUUGAAGGUAUGAGAGGAAGGCGGAAUAACUGGUGUAGAGGUAAAAAUUCAUAGAUAUCAGUUGGAACACCCAUGGCGAAGGCAGCUUUCUGGCAUAUUCUUGACUCUGAGCGACGACAGCGUGGGGGAGCAAACAGGG
rnacentral:rRNA from 1 species